GUGGAGUUUAAAACAUGAGAGAGUGAUACAGGGGUUCUUGGAGCUAAAAACAUUCUAUAACAACAGUGUUGAUGGAAGCUAUUAAGCUCUUAUCUUACAGGCCACAGGAUAGAGAAACAGAAAAUACAGAGCUGGGAGACCAUAUGCUUAAAGGCUAAAAUACAGCUGAAGGUUAAAAGAUAGCAAGGACACAGAAUAACCUGAACUAACUGCUGACUGUGCAGGAUAGAUGCGUGGGUGAGAGCUGGUUACUCAGAGAACGUUCCUGGAAGAGAGUUGAUACACACUUGAAGGAGACCUAAUAUUUACUGAGUGCUUAUGAAGUAAUGGACUUUGGGCCCUUUGCCUUCUUUUUCUCAUGGAUUGAAAGGUAGAUUCUGGAUAAAAUAAUGCACAUGGGAAAGAAUUAUUGGUAUCAUAGAGCUGGUUGUAUAGUGCAUUUGCCAAGAGUGUGGACAUCAAAAUGAAGAUGCCAGAUGACGACAAAAGGCCAAAUAAGGACUUCAGGUGUAAGGAGGAACCACAACCUUUUUUUUUUUUUGUAUAAAAUUAUUUGUCCCCAACCAUGGGACUUAAGAGAAAGAUGUCCUAUAUUGGGGAAAUCAAUGUGAUUACUAAACACAUUCAAGCAUUAUGUUACAGACUAUAGUCUAGAGGAGGCAAAACCAAGGAUGCAUGCAAGGCAAGCUAGAAGAAUGAUUGCCGUGGAGAAGAGCAUUGGUGUAAUGUAAGGACAGAUCUCAUUAUGGAAAGAAAGUAGGAUUUGAGUGUUAAACUUGAAAAGACUGUACGGCAGAGAUCUUUGCUACAGAAAAUGAGCAAGCUGAGAAGUGCCCAGUGGGAGCUACUCAGAUGUAUCUAUUUGGGUUUCUGGUUUUGAAGGGCUACAGUCCACCAGUCCACCAUGGCAGAGAACUCAUGGUGACAGGACCAUGAGGCAUCUGGUAUCACUGUAUCUGUAGGUAGGAAACAGAGAGUAAGCAGAAAGCACCCCCGACCAUCAAACUUCAAGACUCACUCCCAGUGACCCACCUUUUCCACCAAGGGAAACUGUCUCUUGACAGUUCUAGAAUCUUCCAAAACAGUUAAGGACCAACUUCAAAUACAUGAACCUCUGGGGGACAUUUUACAUUCAAAGCAUGACAGCACAGCCUACUUCCCCCAACACACAUGAUUUCUUCUCACCUAAUGGUCCAUGAAAUAAAGCAAAGUCAGACAGUCCACAUGUACUAACUUCCAAAUAACUUCAGUAUUCCUUGAGUCCGUUCUCUGUAUGGUGUAUGAGCUUUUGUUACAUGAAGCCAGGGCUUCCAGGUGCUUUCGUAUGUAAGAAGAGAAGUCUAUUAGCUAUAGCACAAACUAAAUGUCCAUGGAGAUAGUUUCCCAAACCAUUCCUCUAUAAUAACUGUUCCUUUAUUGUAUGCACAGCAGACACGAUGCUGAGGGAGACACAAAGUUUUAACCUUCCGCAAUCUUAGAAAAAAACCAUCAAACUCUCUGAGACUUGAUUUCUCUGUAAAACGAGUGACUAGAUUAGGUAACGUACAAUUCAGCUCUAAUAUCCUACGGAGUUUAUAUCAUGUAGUUAGUCUUAAUGAUGCCUUUAAGGAACAGUGUUGCUGCUUUUGUGAGUGUAGGCUACUUCUUGUUGUGAAUAAGCGUAUUCUUGAAAUGUCAGCUUGUGUCCAGGGCUACCAGACGCUGCAGUCUCUUUUGAUGAAUCUCUAACGAAAACCCAAAAACUACUGGGGCUCAAAUAAACCAAUGAAUUCUUAAAUUAUGCUCUCUUCUAUCAUGACAUUACAAAUAGAGUUAAGAGGAAGACUGUUCAGUUCCCAGGAGUUAGGUCAUAGGAGUUAGACUGACUAUAAGUGUGGUCCUGAGACCAUAGCAUCUCCUUUACAACACUGCUUCAAGCCUACCCUACCAGUCUUCAUUGUUCCACUCACCCCAGACCUGGAUAGCUGGCCCACUGCUCUUCAUGCUGCCUUCGACACAAAUGGUUCUGCUUCGCCUGCCACCUGCACUCUUGCCAAGCCAUUUUCUAUGGGAGGCACUAACUGCCUCUUCCCCACUGUCAUCAGCACUCUAUCCUGCUCUCUGCAGAACCUGGUCACUGUUUCCCCUGCUGUACCUGCCCAUAGAUUCAAAUGUUCCUGAUCCCACAUCCCUACAGGCUAGGUAGGUACCAGCCCUCUCUACUCUGGCCAUUAUGACUCUAUAGAAUUGCCAUAGAUACCCAUCCCCAUUGUGGCUCCUGAUAUAAGAAUUGUUCUGCCAUGGAUGCCAACUGAUUAUCACUCUGUUCACCUUAGCACUCUCUUGUAGAGAGCCUCACUGAUUGUCACCUGUAACAGUAACAUCUAUCCCCGAAGUUCUUACCCAUGAAAUCAAUUCUCUCUUCCAAAUAUUGUACCUAUUUCUCCAACAGGAACUACUUUUGCCUUUUUAACGGUCUGCCUCUAUUCUUCAACGGAGUUAGACAAAUGCAGAGAGGUUAGUGUGCAUUAGAAAACAUACAUUGUGUGACGGAAUUUGCCAGGGUUCCUGGGCCCUGCCUUUGCUGCAAUCUUCUGAUCUUCUUCAUUCUUUUGUUUCUGUUUCCCGAGACAGAUCUCAGAGUCUCAGAGUAUACCUGGGCUUGUCUCCAACUCACAGUGGUUGUUCUAUUGCUGUCUCUUGAGUGUUGUCUCCUAUGCAAGUACCAUUACCCAAUUCAGAGGAAUAAUUGUGUGUGUGUGUGUGUGUGUGUGUGUGUGUGUGUGUGUGUCUGUCCUUGUACAUGUGAAAGCCCAAGGUUGACAUACCAAGUGUUCCUCAACUACUCUGCACCUUACGCAUUGAGGCUAGGUCUCUUAAUUGAACCCAGAGCUCACUAUAUAGGCUACUCUAGCUAGGAGUUUCCUUUAUUCUAGCUAGGAGUUUCUGGGAGCCUUUCCCUUGGCCUUCUGAGUGCUUGAAUUAUAGGUGGGCAGCUAUGCCUUCCUGGCUGUUAUCUGGGUUCUGUUAGUCCAAACUCUAGUACUCAUGUAUGCACAGCAAACACUCUAUCCACUGAGCGGAAACUCUUGGUCCCUAAAACCUGCUUUCUAUGUUGAGAUUUAGUGCCUCAUCUAUCUCUGCGGAAAGACAAGGACUCAAGAAAAGAAUGAAAGGCAUCUGUUGCUAAUCCUUUCUCUUGGGUUUCUCUGGAGAAAACGUCUUAGGCAAAUGGUCUUCCUGGAUUCCUGGAAUAAGCAUGUAAAAUAGACCCCCACAAAGGCAGUGCACACACCAUAUUAUGCACACAAUAGGAAAGCAGGAUGCACUGCCAAUUCUCAGCUAUGCGCUUAGGCAACACUUGUCUGCAUACAGGGACAAGUAUGAUCAACAUGUAGAAUAGCCUUGGGUUCUAACAAAGAAAUAGCCAAGUCAAGGCCCCAGGGAACCAAAUCCAAUGCAUUCCUUUCUCCUGGGCAUUGUUUUCUGUGAUCCCAAGCUCUCUGGUUGCAUAGCUGUCUAAACACAUUCUGACAUGAAAGGGAAGUACCCUGAGCUCCCAGAGUGGUCAUGUUUGUUUAUGCUCCACCGCUCGCUUGUGCCUGCACAGUCACAUCCUGGCAGUCCCUAUCAAAGAUGCUGUUACAGAAAUCCACAUUUCCUUU
ensembl:sense_intronic Gm37814 predicted gene, 37814